GCAAUUCUUAGCUACUUGCAAUGCUAACGUUUAGAUGGCUAGCUAGUCUUUAAUGUUUCGAAACUAAACUCAGUAAGCUAGCGUUUAAAUCAGUAAUAUUAUUGGUUGUGAAUUUAUUUGCUAGUAAGUUAAACAAAGUGUUUUAUGUUGCGAACGGAAUAGAGUAGUCUCUGAAUCAUGGAAGCGCAAAUGCUAUGUAGCUAGCUAGUUAGCCAGGUGCAGAUUUAGCAAGGUGGAUCUUGCUAAACCAAUCCCCCGGCUGCAAAGAUUUGUUUUUGUAAACGAAUUCAGAAAAUAACGAAUCACGUCAAGUGUCUGUCCACAUUAGCCCUUUUCAAACUGCAUUGUUAAGCUUUUAUCCCUGGAUUCACACUUAUAGUGUAUUCCAAAGCCCUGUGCAAACGGACAAACGUAACUUGCUGAUGCGACCAACACUCAGCCACGCGACCAUUUGUUACAUGCAAGGCAUUUAUUAGCAUAUUAGGUCCCCUUGCUGCUAGCAUAGCAUUUUGUUUCCAAUAAUGAAUGUUUGAAAACAUUGCUGCCUCCUUUCCCUGACCUCGGAAACAAGGUUUCACUUUUGAAAUGUGAUCUUGCCCCUCCCUGCACAGAGAAUGUUGUUCACGGACGAGACAUCAUCAACUUUUCUGAUCCAGGCAAAAGCAUGCAACAAUAUUACCAUCCAUGAUAAUAUCUGGAUAAAUGUUAACAGAAUAAAUUACUGAAAACCGACGGAAAUUGAGACCUGUGUGAAGCUAGCCACAAUAGUGGAAUUUGCGUUAGAGAGAGAGCGUAGGAAAAACAGCAGGUCCGGGACAAGGUAUGCUACUCGGUGACACUCACAGAACACAACUGUAGAGUUUGUAAACACAUAUUCGCGUCUUAGCUAAUUAUUUGAAAAACGAACUGCUUCAAAGACAAUGUAAUCCAUGAUGGACUGGCAUAGUUGUUAAUUACCUAUAUUAUCCUAAUGGUGAUGCACAUUUAAAUCAGCCCAACGCUCGCCUUGAUAUGUGCCAAAAAUGCAUCAAGUCAAUCGCUUGGCCUGAUAUAAGUAUAAAUACAGUAAAGUACACACUAAAGAGUAAAAAAAACGUAAGAAAAAUUGUUUAAAAAAAAUAGGCACAACUGCAGACUUCAUAGAAUAGGCCAGGGCCUACCUGUAAAAUGGGAGGGGUCAUAUCCCCUUAACCAGAGAAAUGGGACAACAUUUACACACACUUUGGUUGAACUCAUACCUUGGUUGACUCAGCUUGGCGAUGCUACUUUCAGCUUGAUCUCAAUUAUUGGAGAGAGGCCUCAUUGCUUUAUCAGGUAUGAAGGGUGUCAAUGGUGCUUUUGUUAUUGGUCAAUUUUGUUGUAACUAGUACUCUUUGUAUGUUGGCCUUUGUUAAUUUAAUAGGCCUACAUUAAAUUGUAUUGGUAACAUACACAUUGAGCAGAUGUUAUUGCGGGUGUAGUGAAAUGCUUAUGUUUGUAGCUCCAACAGUGACAUGAGUUGGGGUCAAUGUGAAUUGAAGUCAGUCAAUUCAGGAAGUGAUUUGAAUUUACAAAAUGGAGAGAACUUGACAUAAAUAGCUUCUCCUUGUCCGCUUAUUUAUAAGUAAAUGGAAAUAGAUAAACCUACCUCUAUUGCAUUGGAAUAUCAUUUCUCAAAUUGACCCCAACCCUGAGGCCUAAAUUCAACACUUAAAUGAGAUGAGGAUCACACUGCGCAACAUGCAUUAUGGUUCCAUAGACUCUCCAAUUCACCUUCAUUUACAGUUUUACUCUGUUCAAGUAGACAGUUAUCAAUAGUUUGUUUCUUUGUUAUUAGUCAUUCAAAAUGUACAUGCCUAUGGUAUUUGGCACCCUCUGCUGGUUAUUUGCAGGAUGUGCUAUGAUCCAUUUUAUAGAGAAAUUGGCAUAACUUUAAAACUAGCAGAGAUCCAACUCUGGAAAUUUGAUAUGCCUGUAGAGUAUGUUCAACAAUAUAUUGUAACAUUCCCAUUCAAAAUAUUUAUUUUUAGUCAUGUAAGAAAAUUGUUACUUAAAUCAAAAUACGACUUUUAUUAUAGGGCAAGCGGUAAAAGCUUGAUUUGACCUGUCGUCAGUGAUAUGUAGCCCAAAAUCAUGUUUAAUGACAUUUCAUCUUUCAAUCAUGCAAGACUUCAUGUAUGCAUAUGGUUCCCGCCAUAGAGCUAAUAAUAGGCCCCAAUCACCACACAACCCCCACCCCAAGUGCCACAAGACGCACUUGCCGUGGCUGAGAGAUCUUGGGUGAAGAGGCAAGAAUUGGUUUAAUUUGUAUAACUGUUUAAAUUAUUUAAAAAAUUUGACAGACUACAAAUAAGGAUGUUCUCUUUUGUAUUGCACAUUCCUUGGUAUAAUAGUUGAGUUUUAUUCCCCCCUUAUUAUUUGUAUUUCACAGCAACACCUACAGUCCACAAUCUUAAUUUAGUUUGAGGAUAUGCAUUUCUAAAAUGUCGGUAUUUCUAAUCUUUGUGCCUUCGUGGAUAUUGUGCCCAUGUCAAACCGAGCUGGUAGCACAGGUCAUGCUGACCAGACUUGGCUUCAUGUCCACUCUCCUGGAGCCAGAGCUCCACAUCUGGAGGCAGAUGUUUAUGGGAUUGUGUUACCACAAGUUCUUGUCCCUGCCAUUGUCCAUCCAUCGAUCAGGCAGGGAAAAGGUUUAAAGAACUCGAUGAUGCUCUGUUCAAGUGGACUGAGUAAAUCCUUAAUUACCAUUACUAGUAGCAUAAAGGAAUGACGUAAGUGAAAAUCACAAUUUCCACGACCAUGUUUUGCAAAGGACUAAAACCCUGGAAUGUCACAUGUAAUUAUUUGCAGGUCUUUGUACAUUACUUCCCACGUCGCAUUGACGUCGUAAAGGAUCCAAAGUACCAGUAGCAGCUGGCAUUGGAGUAUGAAGACCAAGCAUGGGAGCUAGGUGUGACUUGUGCCUUCCCACUGGUUCCCCUGGUCCCACAAUAAAGUACAACUGAGUGAUGAUUAUGGGAUUGCAAUUUUGGCCAUGCUGAUCACACUUCGUUUGAGGGACAUGGCUGCUGCUAGGCCUACUUCUGCUGGGAUUUAAAGUGAUGGGAGUGGAGACAAGAUUGACCUACUUCUUGUGCACCCCCAGCAGGACCCCCUCUUGCAGCACCACCUGCUCCUCCAAUGGCUGGCCUUGAGAUCCACAGUCAUGGGGGCAGAGGCAAGGUUUGACACCCAGCGGCUGUCGUUCCAUCAGUUCAGCCGUGUGGAGGCAAAUAAGUACUUUCAGCCGACUCGCAAGGGUAAAGUGAACAGUGCGGUUAUCUGCAGCCCCAGGAUCACCCUUGAUGGUCAGUGUGACAGGGAGGUGGAUGUUCGGUCACCUUUCUUCCACACCAAUCUUUUUUUUUUUUUUUACUAAUCAACUGCUCAACAUUACCAAGAGUAUUAGAAUCUGGUCGAGAACCAAAUGUGUAAUAGCCUGCAGCUCGUAAAGAGCAGGUGGGGGCAGCCCUGAUGGGUGAAGAGAAGCCCUGAUGGGUGAACUGUUAUUCUUCAAUCUACUUUAUUCUACAUUUUCUUGUAAAUAUUUCAUGGGUGUAUGUUGAUUUGUGUAUUUUCCAGGAGCUUGCUCGGUUGUCUUAUUAAAAAGAGAACAGGGACGAAUUUGUCAGUUUCUCCUAUAUUGGCUCAAAUUGGUUACUGUUUUUUACUUCCCUCUGGAAAGUUGUUUCUUUAAAUAAAUACUGAAUAAAACA